GUGCCCCAGUGUGUAUAGAAGGCAGGACAUCAAGUCAAAGGAUAUUAUUCUCAAGUCUUAAGAUUUCAUGUUAUUAGCCUUGUUGGGUUUUGGACUUUGAAUCAAUUACUCUUUCGUUCCUUUCUAGUUCUCUCUUUUGGAAUGAGAAUGUCAAUCUUAUGCCUACCCCAACGUUGUAUUUUGGAAGGACAUGACUUGUUUGAUUUCAUAGGCUCACAGCUGGAGAGAAAUUUGCCUCAGGAUGAAUCAUGCAUUUGAGUCUCAACAAUUUCUGAUCUUGAUGACAUUUAGAUGAGACUCUGGACUUCAGGAUUUUGAGUUGGUGCUGAACAAGGCCCCAGUGUGUGUUCCUGUGUCCGUUUGUUCUCAUUAUUCAGCUCCCACUUAUAAGUGAGAACAUGCAGUGUUUGGUUUUCUGUUCCUGUGUUAGACUGCUGAGGAUAAUGGCUUCCAGUUCCAUCCAUGUGUCUGCAAAGGACAUGAUCUCUUUCCUUUCGAUGGCUGCAAUAAUAUCCGGCAUUUUCGAAGGACUUAAAGGCUUAAAUGAAGACCACGAGGAAUGAUGAUAUGAUAUGCUGAGGAAACUGAUGAGAUUCAGUUGGCUAUCAUGAAGUUUUGUACAGAAGUGUGGGGAGAAAAGUGCGAAUUAG